CGGGACCCGCACAACUUGAGCCCGCGAACCUCGUCAGGUGGGGAACCAAGCAGCGAUAAGCGGUGCCUUGGGUGUGUUGCGGAUU
rnacentral:SRP_RNA from 1 species